AAGCGUUUGAAGUCAGUCGCGUCUGUCGGGGUUCAGCCUGGCUUCUGCCUGGUGUAUUCCCCGUCCGACGGGUCAGCAUCAGUUUUGACCGAGAGAAAAAGGCUUGGGGAAUGUGGCCAUCUUCGGGUGGUGUUAUAGCCUCUUGUCAUAUGUCUCGG
rnacentral:rRNA from 1 species